rnacentral:rRNA from 1 species
CGCGGCCUAUCAGCUUGUUGGUGGGGUGAUGGCCUACCAAGGCGACGACGGGUAGCCGGCCUGAGAGGGUGACCGGCCACACUGGGACUGAGACACGGCCCAGACUCCUACGGGAGGCAGCAGUGGGGAAUAUUGCGCAAUGGGCGGAAGCCUGACGCAGCGACGCCGCGUGGGGGAUGACGGCCUACGGGUUGUAAACCUCUUUCAGUAGGGACGAAGCGGAAGUGACGGUACCUACAGAAGAAGCACCGGCCAACUACGUGCCAGCAGCCGCGGUAAUACGUAGGGUGCAAGCGUUGUCCGGAAUUAUUGGGCGUAAAGAGCUCGUAGGCGGUCUGUCGCGUCGGCUGUGAAAUCCCGAGGCUCAACCUCGGGUCUGCAGUCGAUACGGGCAAACUAGAGUGUUGCAGGGGAGACUGGAAUUCCUGAUGUAGCGGUGAAAUGCGCAGAUAUCAGGAGGAACACCGGUGGCGAAGGCGGGUCUCUGGGCAACAACUGACGCUGAGGAGCGAAAGCGUGGGGAGCGAACAGGAUUAGAUACCCUGGUAGUCCACGCCGUAAACGGUGGGCGCUAGGUGUGGGGGCCAUUCCACGGUCUCCGUGCCGCAGCUAACGCAUUAAGCGCCCCGCCUGGGGAGUACGG